CGCAUCUGUGCAUGCAGUAUAUCAAUAAGCGGAGGAAAAGAAACUAACAAGGAUUCUCCUAGUAACGGCGAGUGAAGCGGGAAGAGCUCAAAUUUGAAAUCUUAAAGGGUUUCCCUUUACGAAUUGUAGUUUAAAGAAGUGUUUUCUGUUGAGGUUUUGGUAAAAGUUCUUCGGAAUAGGACAUCAUAGAGGGUGAGAAUCCCGUAUUUGACCUUUACUUUCAACUUUGUGAUACACUUUCAAAGAGUCGGAUUGUUUGGGAAUGCAGUCCAAAAUGGGUGGUAAAUUUCAUCUAAAGCUAAAUAUUGGCGAGAGACCGAUAGCGAACAAGUACCGUGAGGGAAAGAUGAAAAGAACUUUGAAAAGAGAGUUAAACAGUACGUGAAAUUGUCAAAAGGGAAGCGUUUGACACCAGUGUUGUUUUUCUGAAAAUCAAUUAAAGAACUGUUUAUGCUAAGCUGUUUAGACUUUAUCAGCUAACUGUUUAGUUUUGAGCUCUUCUUUAAUGCACUUUUCAGUUAACAAGUCAACAUCAAUUUCUUUUGCUGUAAAAAAGCUUGAGGAAGGUGGCUUGAGAUUCGUCUUAAGUGUUUAUAGGCCUCUUGCCUAUGCAGUCGGAGAGAUUGAGGUCUGCAGCGUAGAUCCUUCGGGGCUAAAUGCAUUUGUGCUAAGUUAUAACAUUUUAUAGACAACUUGUUGACUAUGAUUUGUCUUGUAGCUUACUCGCUUAUGUUAUUUUACCUACGCUUAGGAUGUUGAACGCGCACAGAGUCUC
rnacentral:rRNA from 1 species